CAGGAGACACUCACUCUGAGGGGUCGAAAUGAAGGGAACCAUAAAGGUGAAGGAGCCAGCAGUGGCCUCUCAGAAUUUGCACCCCAAAGUGGAACAACAACCAGGAGAAGAGAAGAAAGGCACCAUCCCUAUAACAAGGUCAGUUCCAUUGCAGAAGUGAAGGGGCAGCUAAGAAUGCUGAAACAAGUCCAACAACCUGUUGGGAAACUGGGCUGCAGCAAAAGGAAGUCACACCUUGUCAGAAAUUGAGAGAUCUGGUGUUGAUGAUAGCAGCUCUUUUGGAGAGAUGACAAAAUGAAACACCCACGAAGAAGAGCAACCAGCAUUGGCAGAAGAAGAAGAAACUCAUGUCUCUGGGACUGUUGCUGCUUUGGAGACCAUAGGUCACAGAAGCAAAGACCCUUCACUGCCUUGUCUGUCCCUCCAGAUACCAUGAAUAACUUCCAGUCUUAAGCUGCUCUUUUUGGUAUCUGUUUCACAGCAUCAUGGGUAAGAGUCACAGAUGACAGCAAACUGCUGUACUUUUAGCACUGAUACCAUUUUAUAUA